UCUCACAAUACACUGGAGUUACCUACAUCUAUUCCUCUGUUCUAUAUGUUCCAAAAUUCGUGGAAAAUUCAAUAACAACAGUUGCGACCGUUAACGGUUGCGUAACGUCACUUGUGAUACGUUUAAAUAACUAAAUUCAAAUAUUGCCGCCCGGAACUUGAAUUGACCAGCUCAGUCAUCUACAAUCAGUGACAUCCAAUACCUACUGAGCAGUUGACAAGAAUUUGACAAACGACACGUAUAAAGUUUACAAUUUACUAAUUAAUUCUAUAUCUGAUUCUGUACAAUAAAUAUUCGUUAGGUACUAUUGGACCAGUGACUGAUCGACCACAAAGAAUGUAAACAAAUUACAGAAAUCGGAUCAGUUUUCAAAAAUUAUUGCUACGAGCAUUCAAAUGGAUGCAUAUUUACUGGAAUUACCGAUAUAAUAUAGGCAUCGUACCAUCGGCAGACGAAACGUGCCCAGAUAGUGUUCGAGUGAUAAUUUCUGAUACUGAAUAAAAUUGUUUUUAAUAAGAGACGAUUUGAUGAUUCAAAUACUGUGCAUUCUGAUACGGUUCUUUGUGCAUCUAGAUAUACUCUUUCUCUUGUGUUUUGAAUGAUAAUCUCUUCUUUUUAUAUAAACUAUGCUAUUUUAGUUUUCAUUUA